UUCCACCGUCCACCGUCUACGCAGCCGGGCGCUGAUCCACCGUCGUCAGGCCCUAUAAAAGGCUCCCGGCUCGCCUCUGUAGGAGCAGGCGUGGUGCUGGAAGUCUGGAACAGUGAUGGGACUGAGCGGCAGUGGUGGCGCUACAGCAACAUGACCGAAGGGGCGGCUCUCUCCUACAAAACUGGCGGUGCCCCUCCUCAUCCUGAUGUAUGUGUUGUUCUAUUUUUCACUUGCGCCUGCAGGCGGCAGCUCCCUCCACCACCCCUCCUCACCUCCGUCCCCCAGCCGCCCCCCGUACGCGCCGCCCUGCUGGUGGAGCUCACCUGCGCCGCCAUGGAUCUCGUCGGUGUUGGAGGCCUGUUCUGCAACGUUGGCCUCCCCAAGGUCCUGCUGGUGACCUGGACGCUCGCCGGCGCUGCUCCGGUUCCUCAUGCCGGUGUGAUUUAAGAACCAACCAGCGGGCACUCCUAUUAUUUGUGGUGUCCGUCCACGCGCGGCGGUGUGGUAGCUAGAGAGAGGAGCGGCGACGAGGUAAGUGAGAAUCGCGACGCGUAGAGGUCCAUCAGUGAUUCUAAGUGCGGCGGCCAAGACAAACGAGUCAUCCUAUCUGAAACCGACGGAAUUCUGUUUAAUUGGCCAUUGUUUCGUGUACUAUGCAGGGUGAUCUUUACCUCAUUUGUCUUUUGACCUGAAUAUUGUGGUUGGUUCCACGCAGCAGAUGCAGGCACAAUGCUGCGAGGUACUACACCCUGUUGCAACUCAAGUUGGCGUUGAGGAAGAAGAGGGUGGAACCUGAUGGCCGAGUGCCGCGCGCCGCCGCAAGCUCCUGAACGACCAUCUCUCGAUGGUCCGCUCCGUGGUGCGGUGGUCCCCAAGAUGAGCAAGGUCUUGUGGUCUCUUUGCCUGAUUAGGAUCCUAAUGAAGUUCGUUGGUGGCUGCAGUAAAACUGUGGUUGGGCGCUGUUGAUUUUGUGGUGGUAGGCUGUUUUUCGAUUUGGUCCACUUUGCCGGACAGGUGAUGGUCGGUGUCGUGGUUAUUCUACAGCCAAGCUGAAUAUACACCCCACCUGAACUAUCUCCAUUGUACAGAAAAAAGUUCAUCAUAAUCACUACGUCAACUGCUAAUUCUCUUCAUGGGAUCACCACUUCUAUCAAGUGGAAUCUACCGAGCCAUUGCUUCAGAUGGAGGCAGCAGCUAUUACUACCAAACCUUGAAAAGCCAUUGGAAACAACCCUGCAACCUUUUCCGACAGUAGCAGAGAUGUAGCUUGGGUUAUGACUGUUACAUGUUCGAGACACUCCUACCUCUGAUCAUUGGCCAACACAUGAUGAGUGGUGAAGCGGCAGCUACAUGGACUUACCGAUGCUCAUACAUUGUAAUGGUAAUUCACUCGUGUUCACCAUGGUGAUAAAGUGAGAGACGUGUGCUGGUGAUGCAAUUCUUACACAGAGCCAGCUUAAUCUUAGACCAUAUAUGUUCACUCAUGUGAUAGUACUAAUUCACUGAAAUAAUCCCCUUUGCAUUGCACUAUUUCGUCAAAAACCUAGUUUUAAGAUUAGUUUCAGUUUGUCCACAUAGAUUACUCAAUAGUUAUACACUUUCACCCUGAUAAUUUGGCCCUGUUGUAAGCAUACCCUCUCUUUAAUUUCUAAAAUAUACACCAUAUUUUGAUCCAUUUCUUAAGGAUUAGUUUUAAGUUUUCACACUUAGAUUGCUCAAUAGUUUUAUUGGUAAUUUGGCCCAGUUUUAAUCAUAACCCCUUUUCAUUUUGUAAUACACCAUAUUUUGAUCCAUUUCAAGAAUUCAUGCCUGAUAACAAGGCUCAUGCACCAUGGUGCUUGGGGGAGGAUCAGACCUCUUAUGUGUUUUGCCUUCAAAUAUGAUUGAGGCUAAUGAAUUCUACGAAGAAGCAAGUGAUUGUUCCAGGAAGCUACUCCCUCCGUCCCAUAAUAUAAAAACGUUUUUUACACUACACUAAUGUCAAAAACGUUCUUAUAUUAUGGGACGGAGGGAGUAUGUUACAAUUCUAUGUGUGGUCUGCUUGAGUGUUUGUCAAUAUAUCAGUAUUCUGAAAACCAUACUGGUAGCGUUUAGUUUAAUAUAUCAGUCAUUUUUACACUUGCUAUUGGGUUAUCUGUGUGCACAUCCCUAGCAUUGUCUUUCUUAAAAUCAUCUCAUUUUUGCCACUAUCUUCUAUAUAUUACAAUGUAUCAUUGUGAAGGCACCAUGGUAAUUAGAACAAUUGAACACAAAUCGAUACUUUGGGAGUGACAAGCCCAUAUGGAUCUUCAAAGUUAUAAGUACAAAUCCUGGCCCUAUAGUCAUGUUUCUGCAUAUACCUUUCGAGAGUGGUUUUUCUAUAGGUUCACAAAACCUGAUGGGGAAAAGCACCGCUAUAGAUUUUGGGAAGGAAAGAGAUAGCAUUGUGCGCGUCUUUCUUAGGAAAAUACAUCAACUGUCCAACUUAAGAGAUCUAAGUUCUCAAAUAUGCCUUGGCGCACUACUUACCUUAUUAUAGCUAUAUAUAAUCACAUAUACAGGGAAUUACACAGGAGCACCUAGGUGCUCCACCCACCCACAUCAGUACCGUUGUACCGAAUAUACACAUCUUUUAGCGUAGAUUGUGGUGGACUUGAAAAACCCUGCAACUCAGCAGUACCAACGUAAUGUGUUGCAACUUUUUCACUAUUACACGCAGAAAAUUUCACUGCAAUACAUCUACAGGGCGCGGCUACAUGGCUAGUUCCAACUAGACUUCAAAACACAUUGAAAGAUGGUACUUCUAGCUCGGUUGCUAGUGCCAUUUUUUAUGACUGUUAUUAUAUGUUGUUAGAUUUUAAUCACGUUGUGUAUCAUUAUUGUAAUAGGGAGAGCAACCUAGUAUCUGGAUGGAUUCUCCUCCGAGUGAGAUGGUUCCCUUGGUUGUAAACGAUGCUACUCUAUUGAUUGAAUAAAGGAGGAACCAGUUUUUCAAAAAAGACUAUAAACACAGGAACUUUAUAAGCAGUGUCUUUGGAUGGUAUAGGAAAUCAAAACAUGAAUUUUAAAGGAUUGAGAGAGACAGAGAGUGCAAGUUCAUUGGACUUCUCAAAAGAAAAUAACAAAUGAGGUUUGAGCUCAUGUUUAAAUUCCUAUGGUGUUGGUGGAUGAUCGUCGAGAUCGAAGCUACGGUGCUGCUUCUAUGUUGUUCGGCCAGGGGUUAAGCACUUCGAUCAUUCCAUACACGCGAGGAAGGAUUACCUAGGUUUAGGCCACCGUAGUGGUGUAAUACCUACUUUGCUUCAGUGUGUUUAUCUUUGUAUUCCUCUCUUUACAAAUGUUGCCGCCAUGCCCCC
rnacentral:rRNA from 1 species